CCUCGUCGUCUCCAGCACCGAGCCAUGCCUUGCCGGCUUACCGCUGGCCAGCCCUCCAAUCCAGUUCAAUUUUGUCAGUCCCCGACCACCCCGUAGCUCGGCACGUGGAUUAGUCCGACCACCGGCGUCGGCAAGACGGAGAGGAGUAGGGACAGGUUCGGUCAUGUUCCGACGUGGGGGCGGCGGUGGAGCGAGUUGCCGGCGGCUAACUCUGCGUCGGCCGCCGCAGAUGAGAAGAUGCUUAGUUGUACGCUGGGCAGCCCUUGACAACUAUACCUUUAGCAGUGGGGCAAGAAGCCAAGGGACAUCCAUCCAAGUCAUUUCCCCACCAGUUCAAACUGAUGUUCUCCAAGCCUAGGCACAGGUAAAUUAACACGGCCAUGAAUGCCAAACCAGCAUCUAGUGCACCUGAAAGCAGAUAAUUGUGUCGCUCCCACCAGUCACGUCGAUAUCUAUAUACCACAUAACCUGA